rnacentral:lncRNA from 1 species
UUAAAUUAUUAAAAAUAAAGAGAAUUAUUAUAAACUAAAUUUUAAAAAAGUUCAGGAAGUGGAUCAGAAGAUAAACAAUUCGGAGUUUAAUCAAUCAAUGACAACUUAUUUCCACAAAUUAAUAGGAGCAUCAGAGGACUUAAGAUUCUGCGGGAUAUGUAAAAUGGUGAAAAGACUGGUAAUUUAUGUAUAUGAUUACUAUAUUAAUAAAAUUAAAAAUAUAUACCUAUAUAUUAAAAUAUCAAUAAA